CUACAGAACAUUGAUGUGACUGUACUCUUCACAUUGUUAUUUGCAGUGUUGUUGUCCCAGGAUAUUAGAGAGACAAGGUGCAGAUUUGGAGACUGCUUUAAAACAAAACAACAAAACAAAAGGAGCUCAUCCAAAAUAUUGGGAAUUUUGUUUAGCUGAUGAGAAGGAGUAGGACUAAAAGAUGACCAGACUGGAGCCAAGUUGCAAGAAGAGUCAGACCUCUGUGGGACCAGAGUGAGUGUCAGCAGGGGGCACUGGAAAGGAAAAACUUGCUACACCAACCCUAGCCAUAAGGGGGUGUGCAAGUGGUGAGUGUGGGUCCCAUCCUGCUCCAAAAGACUAUAUCGUUUCCCAAAAAUUACAUGUUGAUCUUUGUUUUCUGGUACUCUGUUGAAAAGGAAGUCUCUUGGUGGACUGGGUGGUUUCAGGAGACCAGUAAGUAAGGUUAAGAUUUUGUCAGUUAUUUUUAGUACAAGUCAAGGAGAGGUUGUAGGCAGUAAACUAAAAUUCAUGGGAUCCUCUGACCUGUCUGGGAACUUUAUGAAAAAUAACCAUGGAGAAAGGGCUGGGGGGAAGGAAUGACAGCUGCAGCCCCAUGGUUGGGGACUGACAGCCUGAGCUCUGUCGUGAGGGUACUGACAGCCCAAGCCCCACUGCUGGACUAGGCUGUCAGCCCUGGGCUGCAGCCACUGACAGCUGCAGCCAAAGAAGUCACAGAGCUCUGGUAAAGUCACAGAAUCUGUGACCUCCGUGACUAAAUCGUAUCCUUAAUGAUAAGGGAAUGUGGAGCCUUUCACCUCUGGGA